AUUGAACGCUGGCGGCAGGCUUAACACAUGCAAGUCGAGCGGGGAAGGGUAGCUUGCUACCUAACCUAGCGGCGGACGGGUGAGUAAUGCUUAGGAAUCUGCCUAUUAGUGGGGGACAACAUUCCGAAAGGAAUGCUAAUACCGCAUACGCCCUACGGGGGAAAGCAGGGGAUCUUCGGACCUUGCGCUAAUAGAUGAGCCUAAGUCAGAUUAGCUAGUUGGUGGGGUAAAGGCCUACCAAGGCGACGAUCUGUAGCGGGUCUGAGCGGAUGAUCCGCCAACCGGGGACGGUGACACGGCCCAGACACCGACGGGAGGCAGCAGUGGGGAAUAAUGGACAAUGGGCGCAAGCCUGAACCAGCCAUGCCGCGUGUGGGAAGAAGGCCUUUUGGUUGUAAAGCACUUUAAGCGAGGAGGAGGCUACUUGGAUUAAUACUCUAGGAUAGUGGACGUUACUCGCAGAAUAAGCACCGGCUAACUCUGUGCCAGCAGCCGCGGUAAUAC
rnacentral:rRNA from 1 species